UCUGGGUUAAGAAGCUGCCUAUCUUUAGUUAUAUUGAAACUAUCUUUAGAGAAGAAAACUCACACUGGUGGAAGAAGUCUCCGUUUUUUGUUUUUUUUUGAGACAGAGUCUCCCUCUGUCGCCCAGGCUGCAGUGCAAUGGCGCCAUCUCGGCUCGCUGCAAGCUCCGCCUCCUGGGUUCACGCCAUUCUUCCUCCUCAGCCUCUAGAGUAGCUGGGAUUACAGGCGCCCGCCACCACCCCCGGCUACUUUUUUUGUAUUUUUAGUAGAGACGGGGUUUCACCGUGUUAGCCAGGAUGGUCUCGAUCUCCUGACCUAGUGAUCCGCCCGCCUCGACCUCCCACAGUGCUGGGAUGCCCGCCUCGACCUCCCAAAGUGCUGGGAUUACAGGCGUGAGCCACUGCGCCUGGCCGAAGUCUCCAUUUUAUGGACGUUUCUUUCACUUUUCAUCUGGGAGGAGGAAGGGCUAAAUCAGGAGAGGCUUUUACCAUAGAGAAGUACAGAUGAAGGUAGGCUACACAUGAUAGGCCUAUAGAAGAAGGUAGGCCAUCUACAAGCCAAGGAGAAAGGACUUACAUGAAACCAGCCCUGCCAACGCCCUCUAUCUUUACAUGGUCUUCACUCUGUAAUGAAUAAUAAUUUGGGGUAACAUUGUCAUGGCUCCUGGCACCUCUGGGAUCUAGCUGAAGAAGUAUGAAUACAACAGAUUUGGCAGAAUAUGAAAAUGCCUGGUAAUCAAAAUUAUGACUAUCCUCAGCUCUACAGGAUUAGUUUCUUUCAGUGGUCUAACAAGACUCCUUUGAAGUAUUUGUUACAUGGAUUCUAGGAGGUCUAAUUUCUAUUCCUUUUUAAGUGAAUAAGAUGUGAUGCUGUGCUAUGGAAAUUAAUAUUUUAUUAUGGGCAACUGAUAAAUCUGGAAGUCUUUCAGCAGAAUAAUCAAUCUAGUCACAUUGUGGAGUUUAGGCAAGUCUUAACAGAGACUAGAGGAAAGGAAAUCUGUACUGGGAUAUCCAGAUGGCAUCAAAUAAGCAUAUAAUCUACAUCAGUAACACCAGAAAAGAAGAAACAUUUGGAGAAGGGAAGACAUCAAAAUCAAUUCAGUACAUACUAUUUGGUAUGCUCUUUACAGUUUCCCUCAAGUAAUUCUGACAUCUUAUUAGAGCUUAUUUCUAUUGGACCAAUAAAGGAAUUGAUAUACUUACCUUACGAUGGGAACUUGUUAAGCAUUCUGUUCUUCAAGCAGUGGUAAAAUUGCGAACACAUCCUGAAGAAGAAUUAGUGGCAAAAUUGUGAACACAACCUGAACUUUUCUACUCUGCUGCCACCACUGUCUUUAUCUAAGACACUCAUACAUUUAUCUAACUAAAAUUUAAUUCAAGGUUCUACUUUUUUCUGUCUCCUUAUAGUACUCUGUAACUCUAGUUUUUAGCAAAGUCAUAUUCUGAGGUAUAUUAUUGUUGGUUUUAUUUUAUUUAUUUUUAUUUUUGAGACAGUCUUGCUCUGUCACGCAGGCUGGAAUGCAGUGGCACAAUCACGGCUCACUGCAGCCUUGAUCUCCCAAGUUCAAGAGAUCCUCUUGCUUCUACUUCCCAAGUAGCUGGGACCAAAGGCGUGCACUACCAUGCCCAGCUAAUUUGUUGUAUUUUUUGUAGAGACUGAGUUUCACCAUAUUGCCCAGGCUGGUUCCAAACUCCUGGACUCAAGUGAUCCACGAACCUUGGUCUCCCAAAGUGCUGGGAAUAGAGGUGUGAGCCACCGUACCUCUCACCUUAUUGUUGGUUUUGUAUGUGUUAUUUCUGUUACCAAAAUUGAAGACUUGCAGAUAAGUCAUAUUAUUAUUUUUUAAACUCUCACCUAUGAUUGUGAAUUUCUCUGCCUUUCUGUAUUUCUAUCAAUUGUAUCUUCUCGUAUUUUGAAAUUCUAUAUUUACAGUCAUAUGUAUUUAAGAUGGUUACGACUUUUUGAUAAAGUUUACUCAUAUAUCAUUACAAAAUAUUUUUAUCUAUAGCAUAGUUUUUUGUCAUCAAAUCUACUUUAUCUAAUAUUAAUAUAGCCAUACCAGUUCUCUAAUUUUUAUUGUUUGCAUAGAAGAUAGUUUUCUACUAUUUUGCUUUCAAACUAUAAAGUCCUAUAAUUUAUAAUAUAUUUCUUCUAAAUAAACUACAGUUAGUUCUUGCUUUUUUUUUUUUUUUGGAGACAGAGUCUCACUCUGUCCCCCAGGCUGGAGUGCAGUGGCGCCAUCUUGGCUCACUGCAAGCUCCGCCUUCCGGGUUCACGCCAUUCUCCUGCCUCAGCCUCCGGUGUAGCUGGGACUACAGGUGCCCUCCACCACACCCAGCUAUUUUUUUAUAUUUUUAGUAGAGACGGGGUUUCACCAUGUUAGCCAGGAUGGUCUCGAUUUCCUGACGUCGUGAUCAGCCCACCUCGGCCUCCCAAAGUGCUGGGAUUACAGGCAUGAGCCACCACGCCCAGCCGCUUGUUUGUUGCUGUUAACCUAAUCUGAAAACUUCUCUUUUUUAAUAGCAAUGUUUGGACCAUUUACAUUUAAUAUAAAUGUUUAUAUGCCAGGAUUUAAAUCUACCAUGUUGGCACAUAUCCCCUAUUUUUCCAAUCUAUUAUUUGUUCUUCCCUCUCUUUUUUAAUAGAAGUGUUUGGACCAUUUACAUUUAAUAUAAAUGUUUAUAUGCCAUGAUUUAAAUCUACCAUGUUGGCACAUGUCCCCUGUUUUUCCAAUCUAUUAUUUGUUCCUCCCUCUCUUUUUUAACAGAAGUGUUUGGACCAUUUACAUUUAAUAUAAAUGUUUAUGUGCCAUGAUUUAAAUCUACCAUGUUGGCAUAUGUCCCCUAUUUUUCCAAUCUAUUAUUUGUUCCCCCUGUUUUAAAUAUCUUAUCUUCAUAUUGUUUAAUCAAAUUUUAAAAAAUAGUUUAUCUCUUUUAUGAAUUUUUAGUUAAAUAUUUUUGGACUAAUUUAGAGACUACUCUAGAGAUGCUAGUAUACAUUUUAAAUUUUUACAAUCUAUCAAAUACAUUUUUAAACUAACUUUAUAGACACUAUAAGAACCUUACAAUAGUAAAGUUUCAUUUACCUCCUCAUGCCCUCAGGCUCACAUUUGUCAUUAUGUAUUUCUACAUAUGCAAUAAUCCCAUCAUAUAUUGUUGUUACUUUUUCUUAAAAUAAUCACUAGAGAGUACAUACAUAAUAUAUAUACACACAUACAUAUAGGCAUGUGUAUAUACAUAUACAUACACAGAUGUAUGUGUUUAACUUUUAAAAUAUAUUUUAUAAUUAUCCACCUAUUUAUAUUUUUUGAGCAGUUAAACAUUUUUAUUUGUAAUCAUUUCUUUUAGUUUGAAGAACUUUCAGUAUUUUUUGUAGUACAGGUGGGCUGGAGACGAAGUCUCCCUGAAAAUAUUAUUAUUUUGCCUUCAUAGUUACAUGAUAUUUCAACUGAAAUAUAAUUGAUAUAGAAGGAAGAGUUUAUGUUUUCCUCCAACUGCACAUUAUAAAAAUGCUCUUUCUUUGUCUUCUGACCUUCAUUAUUUCCGAUGAGAUGUACUCAUUGUUUUUAUUGUAAUGGGCCUUGCCCUGGACUCUAGAAGCUUUGAGAUCAGCCUAACCAACGUGGUGAAACCCCAUCUCUACUGAAAAUACAAAAAUUAGCCAGGUGUGGUGGUGGGUGCCUGUAAUCCCAGCUACUCAGGAGGCUGAAGGGGGAGAAUCACCUGAACCCAGGAGGGAGAGGUUGCAGCGAGCCAAGAUCAUGCCACUGCACUCCAGCCUUGGCGACAGAGCAAGACUCUGUCUCAAAAGAAAAAAAAAAGAAAGAAAAAAGAAAAAGGGUUUUCUCUGUAUCUUUGGUUUUGAGCAGUUUGACUGAUAUACCUAGAUAUGGUUUUCUUUGCAUUUUCCCACUUGAAAUGGAUUCCUGUGAUAUAUUGUACGUACUUUAAAUAAUUUUCUGCACUAUUUUAUCUCUCCUCUUUUAUUUUGUAUUCCGAUAAUGUCUCUCUCUGUCUCACACACACAUACAUAUAUACAUAUCUUAUAUAUAUGACAAAUACAUAUAUAAGACAGGUAUAUACAUAUUUAUGUAUAUACACACACACAUUUUAAUCUCAGUAUGUUUGGCAGUUUAGUAUUUUUUUUACUCAUUAUUAUCUUUAUGUUUUGGUUUGGCCUGUUUUCAGUUUCAAUGAUCUUUCUUCUGCUGAGUACAAAAGCAGAUUAAAUGACCACUUAAAGAUCAUUAAGCAAGUUUUUAUAUUAAUAUAUGUAUAAAUUGUUUUUAAUAUUUCAACUUGGUUUAUGUUUUCUGCUUCUGCUGAGAAUUUGAAUAUCAUAUAAGCAACUAAGAACAAAUUUGUAAGCCAUUUCCAAUACGCAUUUUAAAAUAACUUAUAUUUAUUGUGUAUUAUAUAUGUCAUUCAUAUGCAAAAUGUUAUUCUCAUUUAAACAUCACAGGAGACAAUUAAUAGGUAGGAAUACUGUUAUAUCCAAUUCAGAGAUAAAAAAAAAAUCUGUAAAGUAAUUAACCCUCAGUCACAAAAUCAGUAUGUUUGCAAACUAUAUUUAACCCAGACUGUUUCUUAACCACUACCUUAAAACUACAACAUGCCUAGAAAAUUAAUGGGUACUAUUUAUUGAAUAGUACUAAAGAGUUAUACUAAAUAUCACAAAUUGGCUACAACUGAUCCUCUCAUAUUCUUACAAAUAAUACCCCUCUCAGAGACACCAAUAUACUGUGCAUUUUAUAAGUUGCUUUUAAGUUAACCAGUUGAACUCUGUGCAGGGUAUUUUGGAAGGAUGCAACUACAUUGUUGUGGAAUAUAGUACAGCCAUUCUACAAGAGUGCAAUAAAGCAAUUGCCUAUUUAAGAAAUCUGGAGAAUCAAACAACUGGCAUACUUCAAUUAAAGACCAAGACAUGAAAUGAGGAGGCUUAGCAAGAAAUUAAUAAUGAAGAAAAUUUUAGGAAAGCUUUGUAUGUGCAGAAUUACCUAGAAAUACAUCUGGCUUCUAAUUCAUAGCAAUAACCUGUGUACUCUUGGAGUCACUGGCAUCUCCUCCACUGUGAACACAUUUUUAUCCUUACUUAGAUAGUUUUAGAGUAUUGACAGUAUUCUACUUCUAUUCAGUCAUCUAGGCAUUGUCCAACAUUUUUUACUUGGUAUACAUGAGAAAAUUAAAAUAAUCAUUUGGAAGUAUAACUCAUUUUGUGUCUCUAUUUUACAAUUGAGUAUAAUAAUGUCUUCCUAAGCCAAAAGGCAAGUGUCCAGAGACAUCAAUUUAUUGAGUUCCCCCACAGGGCUAAAAUUUUUUAUGUGCAAGGUCAAUUUAUAACUGUCUUGGAUCACUGAUAAAUUAUGGUUCCCAAUGAUCAUAAGAGUUAGUCUUCUCAAAGUUUCUUGGUGACUGUAUUAAUAAGAUGGCAAACUCUGUUUAGUUUUUAUUCAUACAGGUAUUUAAAAAACUAUACCUAGUACUCAGACAUGAGUUUCUGGUAACUCAUCUAAAAUAAAUAUUUGAAGGCUGGAUGCAAUGGCUCACGCCUGCAAUCCCAGCACUUUGGGAGGCCAAGGCAGGCAGACCACUUCAGAUCAGGAGUUUGAGACCAGCCUGGCCAACGUAGUGAAAUUCCGUCUCCACUACCAAACACAAAAAUUAGCUGGGUGUGGUGGUGGGCACUUGUAACCCCAGCUACUCAGGAGGCUGAGACACGAGAAUCUCUUGAACACAGGAGGUGGAGGUUGCAGUGAGCGGAGAUCAAGCCACUGCACUCCAGCCUGGAUGACAGAGCGAAACUCCAUCUCAAAAAAAAAAAAAAAAAAAAAAAAGAGUACGUCACUCAGAAUCAUGCCUCCUCUGACAUGAGUCUGUUGUCCUUGUACUUAAACUACACCGCUAACACUCUGCUGUUUCUUGCUUUCUUAUGUUACAAAGGCAUUCCUCUGAGGAGACUCUAGAUGAAGCCUUUCUGUAAAUUCUCUGGAAAUGCUCAAAUUUAGGAUGAACAGAGCAAAAAUAUAAUCCAAGGUGAUCACAGGGAACACCUGCCAUUUAACACACUUACAUAAAGGUCUACCAUAUUAUGCUUACAGAAACCCUCUAGGACUUUGUCUUUCAAAUGCAAGACACAGAAAGUAGUGGAAUAAGCCUUUUAAAUGUCUGAAGAAGAUGAUUUGGACAACUUGUUUUGUAAAAGAGGAGCAUUCAAGAACAAAAAUUACAUUUUAAGUUGGUGAAAGUUUAAAUCAUAUGGGAAUUACUGAAAAAUACUUUUUGAUAAAGGUAAUCAGCUAGAAAUUGACACCCCAGGGAACAAUGGGAGUUAUGAUGAAUUAAUAUAU
rnacentral:lncRNA from 10 species